ensembl:lncRNA GUSBP5 GUSB pseudogene 5
AGAGGAGCGGAAAGCAUGGUCCGGGGGGCGGCGGACGCCUGGUAGGCGCUCGGGCCGUUGUUGUGGGGCUGCGCGCUGGCGCUGCAGGGCGGGAUGCUGUACCCAAGAGAGAGGCCGUCGCGGGAGCGGAAGAAGCUGGACCGCCUCUGGAGCUUCCGCGCCGACUUCUUCGACAAACUGUGCCUUGGCUUCUAGGAGUAGUGGUAUCGGCGUCUGCUGCGAGAGUCGGGCUCCACCAUGGACAUACCGGUUCCCUCCAGCUUCAACGACGUUGGCCAGGACUGGCGGCUGCGGCAUUUUGUAGACCAGAUGUGGUACGAACGGGAGGUGACCUUCCUGGAGCAAUGGACCCAGGACCUGCACACAAGAGUGGUACUGAGGAUUGUCAGUGCCCACUCCUAUGCCAUCGUGUGGGUGAAUGGGGUCGACGCGCUAGAGCAUGAGGGAUCUACCUCCCCUUUGACACCGACAUCAGUAGCCUGUUCCAGGUGGGGCCCCUGCCCUCCCGCCUCCGCAUCACUAUCACCAUCGGCAACAUGCUCAUCUCCUCCACCCUGCCACCAGGGAGCAUCCUCGACAUGGCCGACACCUCCACGUGGGUACCAUCCUGCUUCCACCGCAGACACCCACCUUCCUGUCCCACCCCGUGGGGCAUUACAUUAGGGUAAUUACAUUAGGUAAGUCACAUAUCAGUGACUUACAAAUUUUGUAAGUAAUUAAGAAAUUUUCAAUAAGUGUGGAGCUGAAUAUUUACAUGAGCCCUUCAAAAACUGAUAGUUAAUGGAAUAAAUGAAAAUAACAGGAGAGACUUUGUUGAAAGAAGACAAAAUAGUCAAGGAAGUGAUAGAGGAUACAAAAGAAAGAUGAAAACUUACAUUCAUUUAAUGUCUAACCGUGUGCCAAAAGACAAUAUUAUUAUUUAGUUUUCAUAACCACAACAUUUGGUGGAUAUGAUUGCUUCCAUUAUAUAGGUUAGGAAAGUAAAGCUUAGGGGUUUGUGAACCCACUAGUUUAAAGUUGUGUAGCCAAUAGGUGGUUGAGUGAGAAUUCAAAACUGGAACAGAUUUGCUUGAUCCAGAAUGGUAUAACUUUAUUGUCCAUGCAUUGUCUUCUACAUUUUACUGCCUGUAAAGUGGGAGUCAGUUAUGGGAGGAGACCCAGAAUGUCACAGGUUUUGAAAGCUGCUGUGGAAAAUUUGGAAGGAGGCAUUGGAUUUAAUGACUGAUACAGGUCAGUGCAGAUUGACCUUGGAGAGAACAGUUUUCUUCAGUGGCAUGGUAGUGUUCAAAACAGGAUCUGAUGGUAAAGAAAAUGUAGAACCAGUGUGUGUAGACUCCUUGAUGGAAAAGUUUAUUUGUAAAAUAUCAGAGGAAAAUUAUAAUAUAGAUUUGUCCAUUCAAACCCCAAAGUCCAGAUUCUUACUGCAAUAUUUGAUGUAGCCAAUAUACAGCAGUUGAGUUCAAUUUUGGCCCCUGUUUAUGUGUAUGCUAAAGAAAAAUAACAAUCCUAAGCCUAUGCCACUUAAACAAGAGGAUGUGAUUAUACUAUGAAACACUUGUGACCAUAGGAAUAUAGCAGUGCUAAGGCAAAAUAGGUCUUAACUUGACUUUUCCUGUCAUUUGCUGCCAUUGUUUGCCAAAGGUCUAGCACCUAUCUUCAGAGGAAAGUCAAGAAAUUAGUGCUCAGAUGGUGGGAUGAAUUCCUGAAUUAUUGUUGGCUCUAGUAGUUUCUUCAGAUCAAUUUUAUAGUUUCUUUAGAACUAGAAAAUUAGGUCUCAGAAUGGCAGUUGGCCACCCAAUGUGUAUAAUACAAUUACUCAACCAGCUGCUUGAAAGCAAGGGGCAACAGAGAAGUCAGCUACUGGCUCAGGCAACAGGAAAUUUGAUGAUACUCCUUGGUCAAAUCCUUCAUUUAACAUACAUUUAUAUAGAACCUUUCUGUAUCAGGCACCAUUCUAGGUACCACAGAUAAAACAAUAAAGAGAACUGA